GCUGAGGCGUGAUGACGAGGCACUACGGUGCUGAAGCAACAAAUGCCCUGCUUCCAGGAAAAGCCUCUAAGCAUCAGGUAACAUCAAAUCGUACCCCAAACCGACACAGGUGGUCAGGUAGAGAAUACCAAGGCGCUUGAGAGAACUCGGGUGAAGGAACUAGGCAAAAUGGUGCCGUAACUUCGGGAGAAGGCACGCUGAUAUGUAGGUGAAGUCCCUCGCGGAUGGAGCUGAAAUCAGUCGAAGAUACCAGCUGGCUGCAACUGUUUAUUAAAAACACAGCACUGUGCAAACACGAAAGUGGACGUAUACGGUGUGACGCCUGCCCGGUGCCGGAAGGUUAAUUGAUGGGGUCAGCGCAAGCGAAGCUCUUGAUCGAAGCCCCGGUAAACGGCGGCCGUAACUAUAACGGUCCUAAGGUAGCGAAAUUCCUUGUCGGGUAAGUUCCGACCUGCACGAAUGGCGUAAUGAUGGCCAGGCUGUCUCCACCCGAGACUCAGUGAAAUUGAACUCGCUGUGAAGAUGCAGUGUACCCGCGGCAAGACGGAAAGACCCCGUGAACCUUUACUAUAGCUUGACACUGAACAUUGAGCCUUGAUGUGUAGGAUAGGUGGGAGGCUUUGAAGUGUGGACGCCAGUCUGCAUGGAGCCGACCUUGAAAUACCACCCUUUAAUGUUUGAUGUUCUAACGUUGACCCGUAAUCCGGGUUGCGGACAGUGUCUGGUGGGUAGUUUGACUGGGGCGGUCUCCUCCUAAAGAGUAACGGAGGAGCACGAAGGUUGGCUAAUCCUGGUCGGACAUCAGGAGGUUAGUGCAAUGGCAUAAGCCAGCUUGACUGCGAGCGUGACGGCGCGAGCAGGUGCGAAAGCAGGUCAUAGUGAUCCGGUGGUUCUGAAUGGAAGGGCCAUCGCUCAACGGAUAAAAGGUACUCCGGGGAUAACAGGCUGAUACCGCCCAAGAGUUCAUAUCGACGGCGGUGUUUGGCACCUCGAUGUCGGCUCAUCACAUCCUGGGGCUGAAGUAGGUCCCAAGGGUAUGGCUGUUCGCCAUUUAAAGUGGUACGCGAGCUGGGUUUAGAACGUCGUGAGACAGUUCGGUCCCUAUCUGCCGUGGGCGCUGGAGAACUGAGGGGGGCUGCUCCUAGUACGAGAGGACCGGAGUGGACGCAUCACUGGUGUUCGGGUUGUCAUGCCAAUGGCACUGCCCGGUAGCUAAAUGCGGAAGAGAUAAGUGCUGAAAGCAUCUAAGCACGAAACUUGCCCCGAGAUGAGUUCUCCCUGACUCCUUGAGAGUCCUGAAGGAACGUUGAAGACGACGACGUUGAUAGGCCGGGUGUGUAAGCGCAGCGAUGCGUUGAGCUAACCGGUACUAAUGAACCGUGAGGCUUAACCUUACAACGCCGAAGGUGUUU
rnacentral:rRNA from 2 species